GGGGUAAUAGUUUAGAUGGGAGAACACUUGGUUUGCAACCAAGAGGUCGAGGGGUCAAUUCCCUCUUACUCCACCA
rnacentral:tRNA from 1 species